GGCUAGCCUGGUGAACAUCCUGCUAACAGCAAACAAGCGACAGCUGGCUUUAGUGGCAGUUUAUUCUUUUAUUUAUUUACUUUUAAAGUGCUGGAGUUGUUAAAGCUUAACGCAUUAAACAAGAGCGAGUUGGGUCCCAGGCUCGGCUGUGUCCCAAAUCCGAAGACAGGACUCCCUAGGAUGGCGGUGCUUCACUUUCUCGCUCGCACACUGGAACUUUUCAAGUGAGAUCCUCUGGACUGUAGUUAUGGAUCCCGAGGACACGUUCCGAAUCGAUCUUCCGUCCGCGGUGACGAACCGAGACCUGCUGUGAGAAUCCGCUUCUUUUUCUUCCUCGCUCUACUUAGUGUUUUACUUUUAUUUUGCUCUGAUGCAGGAACAAUGGAAGAACAUCGGCGUGUGCCGCUAACGUUUAUUAAUCAGCCGUGAAGAUCGCCCGAUCUGCUCCGAUUCCCUCCGAAAGCGGUAUCUAAUCUAAGCCUUAACCUCGUCGUUCGGCUGAGAUCCUGAGCGAUCUCAACGAAGAGCAUCAGGAGAACCGACCAG
ensembl:lncRNA